ACUUCGGUCCUAGCGGCGAACGGGUGAGGAAUGCUUGGGAAUCUGCCCAGUAGCGGGGGAUAACGUUUCGAAAGGAACGCUAAUACCGCAUACGCCCUACGGGGGAAAGGGGGGGAUCUUCGGACCUCUCACUAUUGGAUGAGCCCAAGUCGGAUUAGCUAGUUGGUGAGGUAAAGGCUCACCAAGGCGACGAUCCGUAGCUGGUCUGAGAGGAUGAUCAGCCACACUGGAACUGAGACACGGUCUAGACUCCUACGGGAGGCAGCAGUGGGGAAUAUUGGACAAUGGGCGAAAGCCUGAUCCAGCCAUGCCGCGUGUGUGAAGAAGGCCUUCGGGUUGUAAAGCACUUUAAGCGAGGAGGAAGGGCUCUAGGUUAAUACCUUGGAGCAUUGACGUUACUCGCAGAAUAAGCACCGGCUAACUCUGUGCCAGCAGCCGCGGUAAUACAGAGGGUGCAAGCGUUAAUCGGAAUUACUGGGCGUAAAGCGCGCGUAGGCGGUUACGUAAGUUGGGUGUGAAAUCCCCGGGCUCAACCUGGGAAUUGCACUCAAAACUGCGUGGCUAGAGUGUGGGAGAGGAAGGUAGAAUUCCAGGUGUAGCGGUGAAAUGCGUAGAUAUCUGGAGGAAUACCGAUGGCGAAGGCAGCCUUCUGGCCUAACACUGACGCUGAGGUGCGAAAGCAUGGGGAGCAAACAGGAUUAGAUACCCUGGUAGUCCAUGCCGUAAACGAUGUCUACUAGCCGUUGGGGGACUUGAUCCUUUAGUGCGCAGCUAACGCAUUAAGUAGACCGCCUGGGGAGUACGGUCGCAAGACUAAAACUCAAAUGAAUUGACGGGGGCCCGCACAAGCGGUGGAGCAUGUGGUUUAAUUCGAUGCAACGCGAAGAACCUUACCUGUCUUGACAUGUC
rnacentral:rRNA from 1 species